CCCUUAGAUGUCCUGGGCCGCACGCGCGUUACACUGAUGCAUUCAACGAGCUUAUAACCUUGGCCGAGAGGCCUGGGCAAUCUUGUUAACGUGCAUCGUGAUAGGGAUAGAUUAUUGCAAUUAUUAAUCUUGAACGAGGAAUUCCUAGUAAACGCAAGUCAUCAGCUUGCAUUGAUUACGUCCCUGCCCUUUGUACACACCGCCUGUCGCACAAACCGAUUGAAUGAUUCGGUGAAAAUUUUGGACAUCGAGAGUGGUGAUUAAUUUCGCUGCUCUUAAAUGGAAAGAAUUUAAACCUAAUUAUUUAGAGGAUUGUGAAGUCAUAACA
rnacentral:rRNA from 1 species